rnacentral:rRNA from 1 species
GAUGAACGCUGGCGGCGUGCUUAAUACAUGCAAGUCGAGCGAACAGACGAGGCUCUUGCUCCUCUGACGUUAGCGGCGGACGGGUGAGUCACACGUGGAUAACCUACCUAUCUGACUGGGAUAACUUCGGGAAACCGUAGCUAAUACCGGAUAAUAUCUUGACCCGCAUGGUUCAAUAGUGAAAUUCGGUUUUGCUGUUACUUAUAGAUGGAUCCGCGCCGCAUUAGCUAGUUGGUAAGGUAACGGCUUACCAAGGCAACGAUGCGUAGCCGACCUGAGAGGGUGGUCGGCCACACUGGAACUGGGACACGGACCAGAGGCCUACGAGAGGGAGCAGUAGGGAAUGUGCCGCAAUGGGCGAAAGCAUGACGGAGCAAGGCCGCGUGAGUGAUGAAGGUCUUCGGAGCGUAAAGAUCGGUUAUUAGGGAAGAACAAAUGUGUAAGUAACUAUGCACGUAGUGACGGUACCUAAACAGAAAGCCACGGCUAACUACGUG